UAUUCUGCCCUACAGGGAAGGAUGAGAAGCUUCGACUAAGGUUCGACUCGAGCGAAGCGAGAGAACGUUGCCGCAGGCAACGGCCCGAAGGGCGAGGCGCUUUAGCGCCGAGUAAUCCUUCCCCCACCACUG
rnacentral:sRNA from 4 species